AUUGAACGCUGGCGGCAGGCCUAACACAUGCAAGUCGAACGAGUGGCGGACGGGUGAGUAAUGUCUGGGAAACUGCCUGAUGGAGGGGGAUAACUACUGGAAACGGUCGCUAAUACCGCAUACCCUCGAAUGUGCCCAGAUGGGAUUAGCUAGUAGGUGGGGUAAAGGCUCACCUAGGCGACGAUCCCUAGAUGGUCUGAGAGGAGGAACAGCCACACUGGAACUGAGACACGGUCCAGACUCCUACGGGAGUCAGCAGUGGGGAAUAGUGCACAAUGGGCGCAAGCCUGAUGCAGCCAUGCCGCGGGUAUGAAGAAGGCCUUCGGGUUGUAAAGUACUUUCAGCGGGGAGGCGUUACCCGCAGAAGAAGCACCGGCUAACUCCGUGCCAGCCGCCGCGGUAAUAC
rnacentral:rRNA from 1 species